GGCGCUAUAGCCAAGUGGUUACGGCGACAGAUUAGAAUCAUAUAAAAUUGGUCAUCUGUUUCCCUUUGGGAGCGCAGGUUCGAGUCCUGCUGGCGUCG